rnacentral:rRNA from 1 species
GAACCUCACUUGUGGGGGGAUUAGUGGCGAACGGGUGAGUAACACGUGAGUAACCUGCCCUUGACUCUGGGAUAAGCCUGGGAAACCGGGUCUAAUACUGGAUACGACCUUCUGGCGCAUGCCAUGUUGGUGGAAAGCUUUUGUGGUUUUGGAUGGACUCGCGGCCUAUCAGCUUGUUGGUGGGGUAAUGGCCUACCAAGGCGACGACGGGUAGCCGGCCUGAGAGGGUGACCGGCCACACUGGGACUGAGACACGGCCCAGACUCCUACGGGAGGCAGCAGUGGGGAAUAUUGCACAAUGGGCGCAAGCCUGAUGCAGCGACGCCGCGUGAGGGAUGAAGGCCUUCGGGUUGUAAACCUCUUUCAGUAGGGAAGAAGCCGGCCUUUCGGGGUUGGUGACGGUACCUGCAGAAGAAGCGCCGGCUAACUACGUGCCAGCAGCCGCGGUAAUACGUAGGGCGCAAGCGUUAUCCGGAAUUAUUGGGCGUAAAGAGCUCGUAGGCGGUUUGUCGCGUCUGCCGUGAAAGUCCGGGGCUUAACCCCGGAUCUGCGGUGGGUAGGGGCAGACUAGAGUGGAGUAGGGGACACUGAAAUUCGUGGUGUAGCGGUGAAAUGCGCAUAUAUCAGGAAGAACACCGAUGGCGAAGGCAGGUCUCUGGGCUGUAACUGACGCUGAGGAGCGAAAGCAUGGGGAGCGAACAGGAUUAGAUACCCUGGUAGUCCAUGCCGUAAACGUUGGGCACUAGGUGUGGGGGACAUUCCACGUUUUCCGCGCCGUAGCUAACGCAUUAAGUGCCCCGCCUGGGGAGUAC